CUCGCGCAAGCGCAGUGCUCCCGCUUCUCUGCUUGGGGAGGGGCGGGCUUGCUUCCCGAGAGCUUGUUUGCAUCGAUCGCGAGCGUGUAGCGAUUGCUUUUGUCUGUUGUUUAGUUAUGGCGCCCGCGAGGCGGCGAAGAGGCCACCGGAACCCGGGUUAGGGUACCAUUCGGUGCUGACCGCCGCCCGCGGUCCAGUUGGCUAUGGGGGAGCCAGACUUCUUGGUCACGGGAGACUGUGUCGGUGGCCGGAGCUGGUGCUUGCGGCGGGUGGGGAUGAACGCCGAGUGGCUGCUGCUGGAGGAUGGGCGAGAGGUGACUGUAGGACGAGGAUUUGGUGUCACAUACCAAUUGGUAUCAAAAAUCUGCCCUCUGAUGAUUUCUCGAAACCACUGUGUUUUGAAGCAGAAUCCUGAGGGCCAGUGGACAAUUAUGGACAAUAAGAGUCUGAAUGGUGUUUGGCUGAACAGAGAACGUCUGGAACCUUUAAAGGUCUAUUCCAUCCAUAAAGGAGACCACAUCCAGCUUGGCGUGCCUCUGGAAAAUAAAGAGAAUGCAGAGUAUGAAUAUGAAGUUACUGAAGAAGACUGGGAGAGAAUAUAUCCCUGUCUUUUCCCAAAGGAUGAUCAGAUGAUAGAUAAAAAUAAGAGCUUGAGAACUAAAAGGAAAUUUAGUUUGGAUGAGGGUUCUGGAGCUGAAGGACCCUCAAAUCUAAAAUCCAAAAUAAGUAAAGUCUCUUGCAAAAUUGGUCAGCUAGUGAAGUCUCAUGGGAAAGGUGAAGUGUCCAAUCAGCUCUCUGAGUGUUUGGAUCCUAAGUUGACUUCUCUUGAGCCAAAUGAAAAGAACACAAGGACUCAUGUUUAUUCUGGCCUCCCAGAAGUCUUAGAGCUUCAUCAUAAGGAGAAAGCCUCAAACCCUUCAACAUCUCAGAGCAGCUUAGAGCUCUUUAAGGUGACCAUGUCCAGGAUUCUGAAGCUGAAAACACAGAUGCAUGAAAAACAGUUGGCUGUUCUGAAUGUAAAAAAGCAGACCCCAAAGGGGAGCUCAAAGAAAAUUGUGAAAAUGGAGCAGGAACUGCAGGACUUACAGUCCCAGCUAUGUGCAGAGCAGGCGCAGCAGCAGGCAAGAGUGGAGCAGCUGGAGAAGACUUUCCAGGAGGAGGAGCAGCAUCUCCAGGGCUUGGAAAAAGAGCAGGGAGAAGAGGACCUGAAGCAACAGCUGGCCCAGGCUCUACAGGAGCAUCGGGCCCUAAUGGAAGAGCUAAAUCGCAGCAAGAAGGACUUCGAAGCAAUCAUUCAAGCCAAGAACAAAGAAUUGGAACAGACCAAGAAAAUGAUGAAGAAAAUUGAAAUCAGCCAGCACGCCAAGUACGCUUGCUCUUUCUAUGGGAAAGCCAAGAUGAAGAGACAAGCUUUGGGGAUCUGGCACUGUGGUUCCUGCAUGAAAACACUAGUAGGGGGUGCCUGGACCUGCAACUACUUCUGCUGUUACGGAAGAGAAGGAGAAGGUACAAGCGCAGAAGGAAGAAGUUCUUAGCCACAUGACUGAUGUGUUAGAGAAUGAGCUCCAGUGUAUUAUUUGCUCAGAAUACUUCAUUGAGGCUGUUACCUUGAACUGUGCCCACAGUUUCUGUUCCUACUGUAUCAAUGAAUGGAUGAAGCGAAAGAUAGAAUGCCCCAUUUGUCGGAAGGACAUCGAGUCCAAAACCCAUUCCCUGGUUCUAGACAAUUGCAUUAAUAAAAUGGUAGAUAAUCUGAGCUCAGAAGUGAAAGAACGACGAAUUGUCCUCACUAGGGAAAGAAAAGCAAAGAAACUGUCCUGAAGACCAUGCUCAAAGGGCUUUUGAAAAACUGUCAGGCAGUAGGAGCUUGGAAUGGCCUAGAGGAUUCUCUGGAUGCGACUCAGCCACUCCGGAGGUCAUCUGAGGAGCCAUGUGGGGCAGAGAGUGAGUUAGGAAGCCCUCCCUCACUCACCAUCCACGUUGGCCAGCCCUGCUGCCAUCCCUGUCUGGAGAACCACCAAGGCGUACUGCACUGACUGCUUCAGGGUACUUCAUAGACUUUGCUUCACUAUGGUUGAGUUGGUUAUUUUGAGUUCUGUUCUGUUUUUUUAAUUUGUUCUUGUUAUUUUGAUACCUCAGAAGCAACUUUGUUGACAUUUGUUUUGGACAGGUUGAGUGUACUCCAUGGCUGCCUGUGACUGCAGCCUCUAUUUUGAGAGGAUGGCUAACCUCUUCUUUGUGAAAACAGUAUGUCAUUUCCUGGAAAUAAAAUGUUAAAACCUGUCAGUUGCA